UACGAGUGCCUCGAGCGUUAUCCGGAAUCAUUGGGCGUAAAGGGUGCGUAGGCGGUUUCGUUAGUCUCGCGUAAAAUUCUUCGGCUCAACCGGGGGCUCGCGCGGGAAACGGCGAAACUUUGAAGAUGUGAGAGGUCUCCGGAACUCAUGGUGUAGCGGUGAAAUGCGUUGAUAUCAUGGGGAACACCAAAAGCGAAGGCAGGAGACUGGCACAUUCUUGACGCUGAGGCACGAAAGCGUGGGUCGCGAAAGGG
rnacentral:rRNA from 1 species